rnacentral:rRNA from 1 species
UACGGAGGGUGCAAGCGUUGUCCGGAUUUAUUGGGUUUAAAGGGUGCGUAGGCGGCUCUUUAAGUCAGUGGUGAAAGACUCCGGCUCAACCGGAGCAGUGCCAUUGAUACUGGGGAGCUUGAGUGUUGGAGGGGUACAUGGAAUUGAUGGUGUAGCGGUGAAAUGCAUAGAUACCAUCAGGAACACCGAUAGCGAAGGCAUUGUACUGGCCAACAACUGACGCUGAGGCACGAAAGCAUGGGUAGCGAACAGG